GCUGAGAGUGAUGGCUGUGUGAGGUGAAUGCUGGGCUGGCUGAGAGUGAUGGCUGUGUGAGGUGAAGGCUGGGCUGGCUGGGAGUGAUGGCUGUGUGAGGUGAAUGAUAGGCUGGCUGGGAGUGAUGGCUGUGUGAGGUGAAUGAUGGAUUUGAACUGUAACAGUGAGAACAAUAGAAAUGAAAGCAGUUGCUGUGUGGGCGGGGUUUCCGCUAUAGAGG